UUUUGCAACGAAUCAAUAUUUUCAAGGAAGCAAUAAUUAUUUGAGUUCGAGAGCGUUACGUCAUGACGUGCGAUAUACAAGCGGUACGUAGGUACCGGACGCGUAUCCGACUCAGACUUCGAUUCGCGGGCCGUUACGCAACUGUUCCACAUCGGUUAUCGAGAGCGGGGCCAAGAGUGAACUUCUCGAUGUCAUCGGACGUCCAAUGGUUUAAGGUGUUCCGGCGGCGCAACAUUCAUUUUUGUCCGUAAUAGAUGUGCGUUUCUGCGUUACGGUCCGUGUGUCAGGUGUAUAUUAUGAAAACCACUCGUCUUGUGACUCCGCGAGCGCCUACCUACGUCCUUCAAGCGGACCAGUUCUAGUUUUUUAAUUGUGUCAUGUUCUCGUCUAGGAUGGCCAUGACCAGCUGUCGUGAUCACUUUUAAUGCUUGCACGUGCCGGUGUGCUGUGAUUGAAUGGACGUUCCUGUUUUGUGAAUUCACCGUUGUGCGUUCAGCCGCGUUGUUGUUGUCUAUCAUCCCGCAUCAAACCUGCGUUGAAACUAUUUGACUGGAGGGACUCGAGAUGACUCAUAGAGCACCUCAAAUCCCCAUGAUCACUGAUCACACUAAGACAUUACUGAAUACUCACCAAAACCCAAGCCUACAAAAACUGGUUGGCGCCCGUGUCCGCUUCUAAACGUGAAUGGAGUAAAGUUUAUUCAUAUCCAAGCCAUGUUUUACAACAGAAGACAAAAUAGAAGUUGAUUUGAGAAUUAUCCACACUUUUGGCAGCUAGCUUAUCUACAUAUUCUUGACAAAUCAGUCUACUACACACCCAUCCAGCUACGUAGCCUAUCGCACAAGCCUAUUCUCCAUUAGUAUAUUUUAAAUAUUCAUUGAAGAUAAAUCUCGCUGUAUUUAUUCAAGAACUGUAUUGCAUCACACUCAACUUCAAAAUGUCCACUUUUGGACGGUUUCAAUAAAGUAUUGCACAUGCACAUAUGGAUCGCCGAAUGAAAUUUUGUAGCGCCAGGUGUGACAUUUUUACCUCCUUUUGACCUUACUAUUGGAAACUCAUUUUCUACACAGUCUUGUGUUAGUCUUCUUGUUGAUAAAAUAACUAUUUUAUACUUUCCAUUUAAUUUGUUAUAUAACAUUUACAAAGCACUAAUAUUUUCUUUCCAACCUACUAUGAAUCGCGGUAUUUUACCAUUUUUAUUGUGGACUUUAACUUUUCCCAAUACCUUCAUUCAAAAAAUAUUUCAAUGAUCAGAAGUUUUAGUCAUAUCUUAUACUUUUGCCUCACUGUGUGUUCUACUGGUAAAAACAUCAAAUUCUAAAUUCAAAAUUCUAUAAAUGUUGCUGUAUGUAUAGCUGAACUUUUCAUUUCGUUCAAUGAAAUUAAAGUCACCAUACCAAAACUAACAGAAUGGUUUAAUGUUUGGGUUGCUAAACAAACACGCAUUGGUGAGAAUGGCGAUAGAUCCAUGGGAAUUUUGUUUAAACGAGGAGCUAACCUUGGCUUUUUGUUUUUGUCUAAAUUAUUAAAAAUCUGCUAGAUCUGACCAACUACAAGAAUCAUUAACAAAACUAAAAUUGUAUUUUUUUAGAUUAUUUUUCACUGAUUUAAUUAG